CACGUGAUGGGUGCAUUUCAAACGAGCAUCAUAGCGGCGCUUUGAAAGCUUGACAAGUCAGUAUCACAGUAUCGAGCAGCACAUCACUAGUUUCCUCCUAUGUGACCCUCGCGCUGCGACUUCUUCACGACCAUAAGAUAAAGCAAAGGUGCGGAAGGGCAUUCCCAUUUCACAUGGUCAUACACUGAGUUGUCUAAUGGCCUCCAGCUCAGGGCUGUCCAUGUGAGAUGAGAAUCUGAGAAGAGAAGGACAGACACUUAAAGAGAGAGAAGAGUUUCCCACAGAGCAUGGCCUCUGCCAAAGAAGAUGGUGUGCAUGAAAGAAUGGUGGACAUUAAAGAAGAGGACUGUGAGUGGCUCACACCAGAGGAUGUGUGUGUGAAGCUAGAGGAUCACGAAGAAAGAAUUUCAGUUUUUAAAGAGGAGGAGGAGUGCAAGUGGGUGACUGCUGUCAUUAAAGCUGAGGAUUUGAAUGAUUUCCACGUUGGCCUUGAUUUUCAAAAGCAUGAAACUGAGGAUAUUUUCAAGCAAGAUGCCUGUGAAGAAUCUCCAUCCAGUUUACAGCCCUGGUCCACUAAUACGGGACAACUGGCUACACAGGAGAAUUCUGUAGAGCUGAAAUCAGAGUUAUCAGAGUCUGAAGAGACAAUCACCGAGGGAAAUGAGAGAGAAGGACAAGAGUCACCUGGGAGUGUUGGAAUAAAUUUAAAGAAGAAUGGCAGCUUCUCUCCACCUUCAUUUGGUCAGCCCUCUCUUCAAUCCAAUGAGAAAGGUAUGAAGAAAUCAGCAAGAGGAUCAGAGAACCUGACAGCCUUUUCGCAUUGCAGUUCUUUCCCUGCUACUGGAGUAACACAGACAGAAGCCAUCAAAACUGACCAACAGCAAAUGGAGAAAGAAAUCCAAAUUCAUACUGGAAAAAAAUGUUGUUUGGAAUUUGGCAAACAGUUCACACACAAAAGUGAUCUUAAUAAGCAUAUGAAGAUUCACACUGGAGAAAAAACAUAUUGUUGUCAUGAAUGUGGCAAGCAUUACCCAAACAUUAAGAAUCUUGAAAAACACACAGAAAUUCACUCUGGAGAGCAGAAACCUCAUUGCUGUAAAGAAUGUGGCAAACGAUUCUCAAUGAGAAGCUAUCUUCAGAGGCACAGAAUAAUCCACACAGGAGAAAAACCUCAUUGCUGUGCAGAAUGCGGUAAGUCAUUCUCAAGGAGAAGCCAACUUCUUUGUCACAGAAAAAUCCACACAGGAGAAAAACCUCAUUGUUGUCCAGAAUGUGGUAAGUCGUUCUUAAUGAGAGGCAAUCUUCAGAGGCACAGAAAAGUCCACACAGGAGAAAAACCUCAUUGUUGUCCAGAAUGUGGUAAAUCGUUCUCAAGCCAAAGCUAUCUUCAGAACCACAGAAGAAGCCACACAGGAGAAAAACCUCAUUGUUGUCUAGAAUGCGGUAAGUCGUUCUCAAUGAGAGACAGUCUUCAGAAACACAGAAGAAUUCACACUGAAGAAAAAACUCAUUGCUGUUCAGAAUGUGGUAAGUCGUUCUCAAGCAGAAGUGAAUUUCAGUGGCACAAAAAUAUUCACACAGGAGAAAAACCUAAUUGUUGUCCAGAAUGUGGUAAGUCGUUCUCAAGGCGAGACAGUCUUCAAAAGCACAGGAUAGUCCACACAGGAGAAAAACCUCAUUGCUGUUCAGAAUGUGGUAAGUCAUUUUCAAGGAGAAGCAUACUUCUUUCUCACAGAAGAAUCCACACAGGAGAAAAACCUCAUUUCUGUUCAGAAUGUGGUAAGUCGUUCUCAAGGAGAAGCAAUCUUCAGGUGCACAGAAAAAUCCACACAGGAGAAAAACCUCAUUGUUGUCCAGAAUGUGGUAAAUCAUUCUCAAGCAGAAGCUAUCUUCAGAACCACAGGAGAAGCCACACAGGAGAAAAACCUUAUUGUUGUCCAGAAUGUGGCAAGUCAUUCUCAAUGAGGUGCAGUCUUCAGAAACACAGAAGAAUACACACUGGAGAAAAACCUCUUUGCUGUUCAGAAUGUGGUAAGUCGUUCUCAAGGAGAAGCUAUCUUCAGAACCACAGAAGAAGCCACACAGGAGAAAAACCUCAUUCCUGUACAGAAUGUGGUAAGUCGUUCUCAUGUAUAAGCUAUCUUCAGAGGCACAAAAAAAUCCACACAGGAGAAAAACCUUAUUAUUGUCCAAAAUGUGCCAAACAAUGCAGUUUUCAAAGGCACACAGAAAUUGAUACUGGAGAGAAGCCAUAUUGCUGUUCUCAAUGUAGAAAAGGGUUUUAAACAUUAGCUCUUUUCAAGUAAACAUACAAACUCCCACUAAAGCAAAACUGCAGUUUGGAUGUUCUUAAUGUGGCAAAUGUUAUACAAGCCAGAAAGGUCUUUAUCCACAUGCCAAAAUCCAUACUGAAGAAAAAUCUCAUUGCUGUUCUGAAUGUGAGAAACUAUUCUUAUAUUUAAGCACAUUUUAGUGCCACAUCAAAACUCAUACUAGAGAUAAACCUUAUUGUUGUACUAAAUGUGAUAAGCAGUACUUACAACAAAGCACCAUAAAAAGUCACUUCAGACGUCACACCGGAGAGAAACCUCACCAUUGCUUGGAAUGUGGCAAACACUUCUCACACCGUAAUUCUCUUUAUAAGCAUACAAAAAGUCAUACUGGGGAGAAGCUUUACAGCUGUUCUGAAUAUGGAAUGUGAUUCUUAUAUAACAGUUCUCUUCACAAUAAUAAAAUACUUAAUUCUGGUAAGAAACAAAGCUGUUCUGACUGCGGCAAACUAUUCUCGGACAGAACAACUCCUAUAAAUCACAUGAGAAUUCAUGCUGGAGCCAAACCUUAUUGCUGUCCGGAGUGUGGCAAACGAUUGUCAUGUCCAAGCGCACUUAGGUGCCACAGAAUGAUACACACUGGAGAGAAGCAGUACACCUGUUCUGAAUGUGGUAAUCAUUCCAUUUGCUCAUCAACCAAAAUAUUGAAGACAAAUCUUCUGAAUGAGGGAAAUGACUCCAGUUUAAAGUAGUUAAUAAGUACAUAAGAAUAGUGAAGAAAACACUGAAAGUGGCAAACAGAUCGUAGAUGUAAGGUCACCUCAGAGACACAUGUGAACUCACACUGGAAUGAACACACUGGAAUACAACACAUUUCAUAAACAGCAAGAAUCUUCUUCAACAACUUAUAGGUGCAAGAAAAUACCUCAUUGUUGUCCUAAAUGUGGUUAAUGCUUUUCAGACAGCAGUGGCCUUCAUAUUCAUAAAUGACUGUCUUACUUGUGGUAAGUCUCUUAGCUGUUCUGAAUGUUGAAAGUGGUCCUCCUGUAUCAGCCGUCAUCAUCAACACGUAAGAUUCCAUGAAGGACUCAGAAACUGUACUGCCAGUACGUCAGCCAUACAGGGACUGAUCAUCUCUGCACCAGUGCUGUGCCAUAAGAUGGUGAACAAUACAAACACCAGACAACAGAAUGAGGUAGCAACAGUACUGUGCGGUAAUAACAACUUCAAUAACGGAACACAACUGAAAAAGUUCAAUGUAAUAAUAAAAAAUGGAGAAGAAAAAUCAAAUCCACAGUGCAGUACCAACUACCAUGAGGUACCACUGACAAUGAGGGUAAUAUUUUUGUUUCAGAGCUUUGGAGAUGGGGCCUUAUCUGAGUACCAAUGAACUUGUACCAUCUCUGGGAUGUCAUCUGAUGGCUGGGAAUUUAAGAAGAUUGAAAUACAAAUAAAGUGAAACAUUCAGGGUUCAAAGAGAAAUGUUUAAGACCUGAAGAGGGAGUCACAACAGCAUUCUAGGGUUAGCAUGGGAAACCACAGUUGUGAAGAAUAUCAAUUAAUGUAUAGAAGGAAUAUUAUUUAAAAUAAUAAUAAUAAUUUUAUGAGAUAUGGGACACCAUAAGGAAUGCAGAACAAAAUGAAAAUGAAAUGAACUGAUUUUAUUGUCUGACAUUUAAGAGGAAAAGGGAAGACAAAGCAGAAACACACAGAGAUCUCUGCUGACCCAGCUGUUCAUUUGAUAAAUUAACCUAAAAAUAUAACGGAUGUCACUUUGCUACAUUUUGUAUUAUCCUGGGGUAUGAAGGACGCUCUAUACUCCGAAUGUGUUGGUUCAGUUUCAGUUUGAGUUCAGCACCUUCUUCAUAUCGAUACCCAAAACAACGUUUCUUCACGUCGAGACUACAAGCUGGAGGCCACAGCAGCUCAAUAAACUCCAACAGCAGGACGGACGAUUAGAAAGCUCUGCUCUGAGAGAGUGUCAGCUACACAAAGCUUCGGCUUCAUUUACUUGACAGAAAACUCCAAAAAGCAGAAGUGGCCCCUUCUGUACCCCCACCACUGAAGGUCACAUUUGACCCCUCACUACUCGGCGUUGGUUCACUCUGCUUGGACUUUCUGUAUUUUGUAAGUUUAUGUUUCAUUUUUUGGCCACACUCUUUUUACAUUUCAUUUCAUUGAUGCUCUCAAAUGUGUAAGUAUAGCUUCAGUCUUUCAAGGACUUCUCUAAAAAUGGUAAACUGGCUAUGAAAUGCAAGAAGGCAGAGAAAUUUAAAAAGUAUACCACAAAAUGAAGAGGUGACAUCAAUGAAAUACACUCAAUGGCAGAGGUGACGAGGACAAAAUCAGAAAGGACAGCACAGAAAAGGCAGGUACCAACUGGAAACAAAAGAAGAAAGCUGAUUGGUGGAAAGACCUGUCAGUCACUCCUGAGUGGACUGUUGAGGACAGCCGUGACAUGCAGACUUCAGAGUUCAUGUGUUUUUGAUUUCAAAUCUGUGACCAUGCACUGAAUAAGUCUGUUAUUUAUCAGUUAGCAUGUUCUGAAACUGUAAUGUCAUCACAAAGAUCAGCAUUUUAUUAAUACAUGAAUUACAUUCCAAUAGGUGGUGCACUGCAGAUGAUAAGGCUGAGGUCCACGCUGAUCACUUAUAUUUCAUCCCAGCUUAUUAAAUGACACAUUCCUUUGA